rnacentral:rRNA from 1 species
UACAGAGGUCUCAAGCGUUGUUCGGAUUUAUUGGGCGUAAAGGGUGCGUAGGCGGCGCGGCAAGUCGGGUGUGAAAUCUCGGAGCUUAACUCCGAAACUGCAUUCGAUACUGCCGUGCUUGAGGACUGGAGAGGAGACUGGAAUUUACGGUGUAGCGGUGAAAUGCGUAGAUAUCGUAAGGAAGACCAGUGGCGAAGGCGGGUCUCUGGACAGUUCCUGACGCUGAGGCACGAAGGCCAGGGGAGCAAACGGG